GCCGGAGUAGCUCAGCUGGAAGAGCGCCCGGCUGUUAAUAUUCGGCAGAGACCGGGCGGUCCGAGGUUCGAAUCCUCGCUCCGGCG
rnacentral:tRNA from 1 species